AUACAUGCAAGUCGAACGAGCUUCCGUUGAAUGACGUGCUUGCACUGAUUUCAACAAUGGAGCGAGUGGCGAACUGGUGAGUAACACGUGGGGAAUCUGCCCAGAAGCAGGGGAUAACACUUGGAAACAGGUGCUAAUACCGUAUAACAACAAAAUCCGCAUGGAUUUUGUUUGAAAGGUGGCUUCGGCUAUCACUUCUGGAUGAUCCCGCGGCGUAUUAGUUAGUUGGUGAGGUAAAGGCCCACCAAGACGAUGAUACGUAGCCGACCUGAGAGGGUAAUCGGCCACAUUGGGACUGAGACACGGCCCAAACUCCUACGGGAGGCAGCAGUAGGGAAUCUUCCACAAUGGACGAAAGUCUGAUGGAGCAAUGCCGCGUGAGUGAAGAAGGGUUUCGGCUCGUAAAACUCUGUUGUUAAAGAAGAACACCUUUGAGAGUAACUGUUCAAGGGUUGACGGUAUUUAACCAGAAAGCCACGGCUAACUACGUGCCAGCAGCCGCGGUAAUACGUAGGUGGCAAGCGUUGUCCGGAUUUAUUGGGCGUAAAGCGAGCGCAGGCGGUUUUUUAAGUCUGAUGUGAAAGCCUUCGGCUUAACCGGAGAAGUGCAUCGGAAACUGGGAGACUUGAGUGCAGAAGAGGACAGUGGAACUCCAUGUGUAGCGGUGGAAUGCGUAGAUAUAUGGAAGAACACCAGUGGCGAAGGCGGCUGUCUAGUCUGUAACUGACGCUGAGGCU
rnacentral:rRNA from 1 species